rnacentral:rRNA from 1 species
UACGUAGGGGGCGAGCGUUGUCCGGAAUCAUUGGGCGUAAAGCGCGUGUAGGCGGCUUGGUAAGUCCGGUGUGAAACCUUGGGGCUCAACCCCAAGCCUGCACUGGAUACUGCCUCGCUUGAGUCCGGGAGGGGAGAGCGGAAUUCCUAGUGUAGCGGUGAAAUGCGCAGAUAUUAGGAAGAACACCAAUGGCGAAGGCAGCUCUCUGGGACGGUACUGACGCUGAGACGCGAAAGCGUGGGGAGCGAACAGG